rnacentral:rRNA from 1 species
AGUGAACGCUGGCGGUAGGCCUAACACAUGCAAGUCGAACGGCAGCACAGGAGAGCUUGCUCUCUGGGUGGCGAGUGGCGGACGGGUGAGGAAUACAUCGGAAUCUACCUUUUCGUGGGGGUAUAACGGUAGGGAAACUUACGCUAAUACCGCAUACGACCUACGGGUGAAAGUGGGGGACCGCAAGGCCUCACGCGAUU